rfam:Gossypium arboreum cultivar AKA8401 contig_294_11, whole genome shotgun sequence.
UGUGAAAAACUUUAUCAAUUUCUACUGGUAGAAACUGGUAUGACUAAUAAAAUAAUCAGACAGUUACACGUGGUGUGUCGUAUGUACCUUAUUUUGAUAUACAGGGACUAAUUUUUAACAGUAGAAAUGGAUAGAAUUUUUUAACA